UGUAAAAACAUCGAAUUUAUGUUUCUACGCAUUUUUGAAUAGACUUUUACAAUCUCGUUACUUAAUUAUUGACACAUAUUAAACAGAUUAUAGAUACAAACAUAUUGCCGUGCUGACAUUGUGAGUUUUAGACCUGAGUUAUACUUUUAAUGAACACUUAACCAAGUAUUUAAGUAGUCAAUGUGGUUAUGGUAGAUAGCUUUUUACAGAAAAGGGCAACUUUAAUAUAAUACGUAUAUUGUUCAACUAUAUAGCUCAGUCGUUAUUGCAAGUUAGUUACUAAACAAUUCCUUUAGACCACUUGUCAUAUGGUGUACACAUGAUUGACCUAGACUUGACAUGAAGAUGGAUUAAUGGUUCUCUAGUCGUGAAUAUUUUUUGUGGAAGUCAAUAAGUAUUAAAUAUUCUCAAAGCAAAGAACGUAAGGUAUAGGUAAAUACACAAAAUGCAUACAAAAAAAUAUGCAGAUGCGGUAAAGGUUCAAGAAGGUUAAAGGAGUGCUUCUAACAAAAUUUCCUGAAGGUGAGCCUAUUAUUUGACUAAAAAUUAAAUAUGAACGUGAGAUAUGAAUCGACAACUAAUCAUCACCACUAAAUUAAUUAAUGAAGAAUAUGAUCGGAAUCUGCAUUGGAAAUUGUAUUCAUUUCAUUUCUGUAUACCAGAGGUAAACUAUCGCAUGUCAUAUAUUUUUUUUAAAUUAAUUGAAACUUCAUUUUCAAUCUUCACACAUCUGGUGUACAUGUUAAUUUCUUUUAUUUAUAGUUAAAAUUAU